rnacentral:misc_RNA from 1 species
GAUGAAGAACGCAGCGAAAUGCGAUACGUAAUGUGAAUUGCAGAAUUCAGUGAAUCAUCGAAUCUUUGAACGCAUAUUGCGCUCUCUGGUAUUCCGGAGAGCAUGCUUGUUUGAGUAUCAGUAAACACCUCAACUUCCAUAUCUUUUUUGAAAUGGGAGUUGGACUUGAGUGAUCCCAACGCUUUUCCUCACCGAAAAGUGGCGGGUUACUUGAAAUGCAGGUGCAGCUGGACUUUUCUCUGAGCUAUAAGCAUAUCUAUUUAGUCUGCCUAAAAAACAGAUUAUUAGCUUUGCUGCAGCUAACAUAAAGGAGAUUAGUUCUUGUGCUGACUGAUGCAGGAUUCACAAAGACAGGCUUCGGCCGACUUUGUAAACUCGAUCUCAAAUCAAGUAAGACUACCCGCUGAACUUAAGCAUAUCAAUAAGCGGAGGA